rnacentral:lncRNA from 1 species
UUAAAGGGCAGAGAAACAUCCAGAAUGGUGGAAGCCCUGAGGGCUAUCUGCAAGCUACCACACCGUCUCCUCUGCUAGACAGUCUGGUGUAAUGCUCCACAUUGAUGACUGCUUCAUCGGCCUGCAUCCUGGCAAACUCUUUACCUUUGCCCAAGUUUACAUUGUGGUCUCUCAUCCUCUUCAUCCUUCAUUUGUUUCAAGAUCCAUCUUGUUUAUUGCCUGUUUCAAUAUUUGAAGGUAGGUACUUGUCUCUCUCAUCCAAUGCAUUUGAAUUUGAGAUCUUUGAAGUAUGACACUGGAGUCUGGGAGAAGGCAGUGGACUUAUAGUAGAAUACUGGGUCAACGGGUUUCUGGAACAAAGUGGAACUGUUUGGAUCUUGGACAAUAGAGUUGGUAUUAUAAGAUGUGAGAAGUCAAGAAUUCUCUAGAAUAGGAUAAACAUUUAGUCUCAGAUAAAAUCUAGAGAUCCUCAGACAAGUACACUAUUCUGAUAUUAUCAGGGAUGUCUAAUCAUCUCUGAAAUGGUUUUAGCUGUUUGUAUGGUUUUCUUCAGAAUCUUUCCAUUGUAAAAGAAGUGUAUAUUUCCAUUGUAAAAUAAGUGUAUAUUUACACACACAAUAUAUUUAUGUGUGUGAUCUCUGACAUAUAUCAAAUCCUAAAGGAAUGAGGAGUGUGGAGUUAAAAAGCUUCCUCUGGCAGAUGCAAUGUAUGUCUUCCGGUCUUAGAGCAAGCUCCCAUCAGCCAUUCAAACACUUCUGAAUUUUGCCACAUUUGAGUGUUACCUGAACACCACACCUUGUCAUCCUCAAGUCUGAGUGAGGGGAGCUUAACUUGGUGCUUACCAACUUCAACUUCAACACGACUAAUCAUACCAAUUGUGUAAAUUCUAAAAAGAGUAGAGUUGUCAUUGUUUCAUUUGUUCACAAUCAAAUCCCCAUCAUGGGUAAUAAUAGCUGACAUAUAAACACUCAAGAAAUAUCUAUUCAGUGACUCAAACUUUAUAUUUUAAAUAUAUAAAAAGUUUUUAACUAUUAAAAUAAUGACAAAGGCUUUUUUUUUCCUAUCCCAGUGUGCUGAGUAACAUCUUUCAAAAACCCUUGUGACAAAUUUGGCUGAGGAAUCAAGUAUCGAGGUAUUAGGGUACUGCGGAAGGAUACAUUUUGACUUAGGAAAUUGUUCUAUUUUCUCUCUCUCUCUACUUCUCUUUCACUCUCUCAUGUUCUCUCUCUCCACAUCUCCUCUCUCCCUGCCUCUCUCCAUUAUAUCAUCCAGUGUCUACCCUGAAGAAAGAUCAACAAAAUUUGAGUGGAUGUACUCCCUAAAACAAAGCACCUCCUUCACCCAAUAUGUCUUUUUUAAAACAUAGCUACAAAGGCACUUUGAAACACAUCAAGAAACUUAAUUCAACAUAGUGUGGCAAUAAUAGUUACCCUAAGGAAAAGGUACC